rnacentral:rRNA from 1 species
CAAUCCUGACGCUUUCGGAUAGGCAUUGCGGAGCCGUCGCUCCGUCUAAGCUGGAUAUGAAAUUGGAGUACCGUAAUGGUGAGAAUUUUUCUAAACGGUGAUGGGGUAACAAUGCUGAUUCCAGGAGCCCGUGAAAAGGGUGAUGUAGUCCGUACCGAGAACUGACACAGGUGCCCCUCGCUGAGAAGGCGAAGGCGUGUCGGGAGUAAUCGUGUUAAGGGAACUCGGCAAAUUAGCCCUGUAACUUUGGGAUAAGGGGUGCCUGCCCAGCGAUUGGGCAGGUCGCAGUGACAAGAUCGCUCCGACUGUCUAAUAACAACAUAGCAGACUGCAACUCCGAAAGGACUCGUAUAGUCUGUGAUUCCUGCCCAGUGCGAGUAUCUGAACACCGGGUUCAACCGGACGAAGGACUCGUAAACGGCGGGGGUAACUAUGACCCUCUUAAGGUAGCGUAGUACCUUGUCGCUUAAUUGGCGACUUGCAUGAAUGGAAUAACGAGAGCGAUACUGUCCCUAACACGAACCCGUUGAACCUUUUGUACUAGUGCAGAGACUAGUGACUCCUUAUGGGAAGUGAAGACCCCGUGGAGCUUUACUGCAGCCUGUCGUUGGGUUACGGUAUUACCUGCGCAGGGUAGAUGGGAGACGUCGAUCCAACCCUUGUGGGGGUUGGUUAGUCAACGAUGAGACACCAUCCUGGUUUUAUUGUAAUUCUAACUGAUUUAUCAGGACAUCGAUAGGUAGGCAGUUUGGGUGGGGCGCCACACCCUCGAAAAAAUAUCAAGGGUGCCCUAAGGUCAACUCAAGCGGGUCAGAAACCCGCUGAAGAGUGUCAAGAGCAAAAGUUGGCCUGACGCGAUUUCGCAUAGCAAGAAAUCGCGAGAGGAAACUCGGGUCUAACGAACCAAUACGCCCUGUUGACGAGGGCUAUUGACUACAGAAAAGCUACCCCGGGGAUAACAGAGUCGUCGCCGGCAAGAGCACAUAUCGACCCGGCGGCUUGCUACCUCGAUGUCGGUUCUUUCCAUCCUGGCUGUGCAGCAGCAGCCAAGGGUGAGGUUGUUCGCCUAUUAAAGGGGAUCGUGAGCUGGGUUUAGACCGUCGUGAGACAGGUCGGUUACUAUCUAUAAGGAGUGUCGGAAGUCUGAAGGCAAGAGUGAAAUAGUACGAGAGGAACUUUCACUCGGCGCCUCUGGUCGAUCGGUUGUCUGACAAGGCAUGGCCGAGCAGCUACGCGCCAAGAGAUAAAAGCUGAAAGCAUCUAAGCUUGAAACUCAGCCUGAACAAGAGACUUCAUUAAAGACCCGGGUAAAAGACCCGGUUGAUAGGUUCGGGAUGUAAGCACGAAGGCAACGACGUGUUCAGUCCGCGAAUACUAAUAGUCCC